CAAAGGCUUGGUCCUAACUUUGCUGUCACCUAAAGCUAAAUUUACACAUGCAAGUAUCCGCAACCCCGUGAGGAUGCCCUUAACCCUCUUAUGAGAUCAAGGAGCAGGUAUCAGGCACACUACUGUAGCCCAUUACACCUUGCUUAGCCACACCCCCAAGGGAAUUCAGCAGUGAUAAACAUUAAGCCAUAAGUGCAAACUUGACUUAGUUAAAGCUAAGAGGGCCGGUAAAACUCGUGCCAGCCACCGCGGUUAUACGAGAGGCCCAAGAUGACAGAAACCGGCGUAAAGAGUGGUUAAGACAUAGAGUAAUUAAAGCUAAACCUCUUCAAGGCUGUUAUACGCAUCCGAAGAUAUGAAGACCCUCUACGAAAGUGGCUUUAAUAUUUCUGAGUCCACGAAAGCUACGGAACAAACUGGGAUUAGAUACCCCACUAUGCAUAGCUGUAAACAUUGAUAACAACUUACCUACAUAUCCGCCCGGGAACUACAAGUACCAACUUGAAACCCAAAGGACUUGGCGGUGCUUUAGACCCACCUAGAGGAGCCUGUUCUAGAACUGAUAACCCCCGUUAAACCUCACCCUCCCUUGUUAUUUCCGCCUAUAUACCGCCGUCGUCAGCUUACCCUGUGAAGGUCUUAUAGUGAGCACAACUGGUACAACCUUAAACGUCAGGUCGAGGUGUAGUAGAUGAGAGGGGAAGCAAUGGGCUACAUUCGUCUACUGACGAACAACGAAUGGUUUAUUGAAAGCAUAAGCCUAAAGGAGGAUUUAGCAGUAAAAAGGAAAUAGAGUGUCCUUUUGAAACUGGCCCUGAAGCGCGCACACACCGCCCGUCACUCUCCCCUAGCUUAAAUCUUAUAAUAACUAAUACAACAACCUAUUAAAGGGGAGGCAAGUCGUAACAUGGUAAGUGUACCGGAAGGUGCACUUGGAAUACA
rnacentral:ncRNA from 1 species